GGCAGUAGCUCAGCUGGCAGAGCGUUGGCUUCCCAAGCCGAAGGUCGCGGGUUCGAACCCCGUUUGCC
rnacentral:tRNA from 1 species